rnacentral:lncRNA from 1 species
CUCCUGUUAUUUCUUCAGAAGCGGGGUCUUGUUUCCUUUCUGCUAAGUCUUGAUACAGCACCAUGAAAGAAACAGGGACCAUCUGUAUUCUCAGUAUAAAACUUGCUAUGAAGCCAAUAAGAAUACACGAGAAAGACAUUUGGCUAGAAGCGGAGAGAGGAAAUAAUGAAGAAACUGCAGAGCACCACAGUUUUAGCAGUGGAAAAACCUUUUUCAUAAGGUGACCAGAUGAAGAUAAAGGAACACAACUUUUGGCAUCCCACUGUGACAAUUUUCACUUUUGUCUUUUUGUUAUGCCUAAUGCCAGCUAAAACCUAGUGGAAAUAAAACAAUUUAAUAAAAUAUAGAAAAAAGAAAU